rnacentral:rRNA from 10 species
UUAAGCGACUAAGCGUACACGGUGGAUGCCCUGGCAGUCAGAGGCGAUGAAGGACGUGCUAAUCUGCGAUAAGCGUCGGUAAGGUGAUAUGAACCGUUAUAACCGGCGAUUUCCGAAUGGGGAAACCCAGUGUGUUUCGACACACUAUCAUUAACUGAAUCCAUAGGUUAAUGAGGCGAACCGGGGGAACUGAAACAUCUAAGUACCCCGAGGAAAAGAAAUCAACCGAGAUUCCCCCAGUAGCGGCGAGCGAACGGGGAGGAGCCCAGAGCCUGAAUCAGUGUGUGUGUUAGUGGAAGCGUCUGGAAAGGCGCGCGAUACAGGGUGACAGCCCCGUACACAAAAAUGCACAUGCUGUGAGCUCGAUGAGUAGGGCGGGACACGUGGUAUCCUGUCUGAAUAUGGGGGGACCAUCCUCCAAGGCUAAAUACUCCUGACUGACCGAUAGUGAACCAGUACCGUGAGGGAAAGGCGAAAAGAACCCCGGCGAGGGGAGUGAAAAAGAACCUGAAACCGUGUACGUACAAGCAGUGGGAGCCUCUUAAUGGGGUGACUGCGUACCUUUUGUAUAAUGGGUCAGCGACUUAUAUUCUGUAGCAAGGUUAACCGAAUAGGGGAGCCGAAGGGAAACCGAGUCUUAACUGGGCGUUAAGUUGCAGGGUAUAGACCCGAAACCCGGUGAUCUAGCCAUGGGCAGGUUGAAGGUUGGGUAACACUAACUGGAGGACCGAACCGACUAAUGUUGAAAAAUUAGCGGAUGACUUGUGGCUGGGGGUGAAAGGCCAAUCAAACCGGGAGAUAGCUGGUUCUCCCCGAAAGCUAUUUAGGUAGCGCCUCGUGAAUUCAUCUCCGGGGGUAGAGCACUGUUUCGGCAAGGGGGUCAUCCCGACUUACCAACCCGAUGCAAACUGCGAAUACCGGAGAAUGUUAUCACGGGAGACACACGGCGGGUGCUAACGUCCGUCGUGAAGAGGGAAACAACCCAGACCGCCAGCUAAGGUCCCAAAGUCAUGGUUAAGUGGGAAACGAUGUGGGAAGGCCCAGACAGCCAGGAUGUUGGCUUAGAAGCAGCCAUCAUUUAAAGAAAGCGUAAUAGCUCACUGGUCGAGUCGGCCUGCGCGGAAGAUGUAACGGGGCUAAACCAUGCACCGAAGCUGCGGCAGCGACACUAUGUGUUGUUGGGUAGGGGAGCGUUCUGUAAGCCUGUGAAGGUGUACUGUGAGGUAUGCUGGAGGUAUCAGAAGUGCGAAUGCUGACAUAAGUAACGAUAAAGCGGGUGAAAAGCCCGCUCGCCGGAAGACCAAGGGUUCCUGUCCAACGUUAAUCGGGGCAGGGUGAGUCGACCCCUAAGGCGAGGCCGAAAGGCGUAGUCGAUGGGAAACAGGUUAAUAUUCCUGUACUUGGUGUUACUGCGAAGGGGGGACGGAGAAGGCUAUGUUGGCCGGGCGACGGUUGUCCCGGUUUAAGCGUGUAGGCUGGUUUUCCAGGCAAAUCCGGAAAAUCAAGGCUGAGGCGUGAUGACGAGGCACUACGGUGCUGAAGCAACAAAUGCCCUGCUUCCAGGAAAAGCCUCUAAGCAUCAGGUAACAUCAAAUCGUACCCCAAACCGACACAGGUGGUCAGGUAGAGAAUACCAAGGCGCUUGAGAGAACUCGGGUGAAGGAACUAGGCAAAAUGGUGCCGUAACUUCGGGAGAAGGCACGCUGAUAUGUAGGUGAAGUCCCUUGCGGAUGGAGCUGAAAUCAGUCGAAGAUACCAGCUGGCUGCAACUGUUUAUUAAAAACACAGCACUGUGCAAACACGAAAGUGGACGUAUACGGUGUGACGCCUGCCCGGUGCCGGAAGGUUAAUUGAUGGGGUUAGCGGUAACGCGAAGCUCUUGAUCGAAGCCCCGGUAAACGGCGGCCGUAACUAUAACGGUCCUAAGGUAGCGAAAUUCCUUGUCGGGUAAGUUCCGACCUGCACGAAUGGCGUAAUGAUGGCCAGGCUGUCUCCACCCGAGACUCAGUGAAAUUGAACUCGCUGUGAAGAUGCAGUGUACCCGCGGCAAGACGGAAAGACCCCGUGAACCUUUACUAUAGCUUGACACUGAACAUUGAGCCUUGAUGUGUAGGAUAGGUGGGAGGCUUUGAAGUGUGGACGCCAGUCUGCAUGGAGCCGACCUUGAAAUACCACCCUUUAAUGUUUGAUGUUCUAACGUUGGCCCCUUACCGGGGUUGCGGACAGUGUCUGGUGGGUAGUUUGACUGGGGCGGUCUCCUCCUAAAGAGUAACGGAGGAGCACGAAGGUUGGCUAAUCCUGGUCGGACAUCAGGAGGUUAGUGCAAUGGCAUAAGCCAGCUUGACUGCGAGCGUGACGGCGCGAGCAGGUGCGAAAGCAGGUCAUAGUGAUCCGGUGGUUCUGAAUGGAAGGGCCAUCGCUCAACGGAUAAAAGGUACUCCGGGGAUAACAGGCUGAUACCGCCCAAGAGUUCAUAUCGACGGCGGUGUUUGGCACCUCGAUGUCGGCUCAUCACAUCCUGGGGCUGAAGUAGGUCCCAAGGGUAUGGCUGUUCGCCAUUUAAAGUGGUACGCGAGCUGGGUUUAGAACGUCGUGAGACAGUUCGGUCCCUAUCUGCCGUGGGCGCUGGAGAACUGAGGGGGGCUGCUCCUAGUACGAGAGGACCGGAGUGGACGCAUCACUGGUGUUCGGGUUGUCAUGCCAAUGGCACUGCCCGGUAGCUAAAUGCGGAAGAGAUAAGUGCUGAAAGCAUCUAAGCACGAAACUUGCCCCGAGAUGAGUUCUCCCUGACUCUUUAAGGGUCCUGAAGGAACGUUGAAGACGACGACGUUGAUAGGCCGGGUGUGUAAGCGCAGCGAUGCGUUGAGCUAACCGGUACUAAUGAACCGUGAGGCUUAACCUU